AGUGAACGCUGGCGGCGUGCCUAACACAUGCAAGUCGAACGAUGAUAGAGAGCUUGCUUUCUUGAUUAGUGGCGCACGGGUGAGUAAUGCAUAGAUAAUGUGCCCCUUAGUUCGGGAUAGCCACUGGAAACGGUGAUUAAUACCGGAUACUCCUUCUUGCCUCAAGGUAAGUCGGGAAAGUUUUUCGCUAAGGGAUCAGUCUAUGUUCCAUCAGGUAGUUGGUGAGGUAAUGGCUCACCAAGCCUAUGACGGAUAUCUGGUUUGAGAGGAUGAUCAGACACACUGGAACUGAGACACGGUCCAGACUCCUACGGGUGGCAG
rnacentral:rRNA from 1 species